UUGUAGUCUGCAACCCGACUACAUGAAGCUGGAAUCGCUAGUAAUCGCGGAUCAGAAUGCCGCGGUGAAUACGUUCCCGGGUCUUGUACACACCGCCCGUCACACCAUGGGAGUCGGAAAUGCCCGAAGUCAGUGACCCAACCGUAAGGAGGGAGCUGCCGAAGGUGGAGCCGGUAACUGGGGUGAAGUCGUAACAAGGUAGC
rnacentral:rRNA from 1 species